rnacentral:lncRNA from 1 species
GUAGCAUAGCUCCAAAGGAACAAAUGUACCAUGGUAAUGGAGCCAGAACUCACCGUUUUCCAUAGGAGCGGCUUCAGGAUUCCAGUGCAUCAGUGUUCAUGUCAGCAACAGCAACUUCAGAGGUGGCAGCAGCUGGAGAAAGAAUUUUGUGGCUGCUGGAGGAAUGACAGCAGUCUCAGACAGAGAUCGAACGUGGGUCCUUGUGCUUGCACAGCAGGUGGCAAGACCACUGAGCUAAAUCCCCGGCCUUUAAUAUAUUCUUUUAAAAAAUCAACUAAUGAGGAGGUCCUGAGUCGCGCGGAAGACGCCAAAUCAGCCCGCUGCAGACAGGCAGCCACCUGGUUCCACACUACAAAGACGCAGAGGACACCAGAUCACCAGACCAAGGUGCUGAGUCCCACUGCUCCUGGUCCAGAGGAAGGGGCUUCCCGGUCACCAUCCCUCCCACUGCCCCCAGCCCACAGGAAAGGGCUUUUGGGUCACCAUCCCUACCGCUGCUCCCGGCCCCUGGCCCACAUCUCACAGCUCAGAGGAGGUAAUCCGUGUGGGUGCUAACAGCCCCCCCCCCCGCCCCCGCUCCAGUCGAAAUGAGAA